AUUCAGCAUUGUUAUGAUCAAAGAUGAAGUGAAUAGUUGAAUUUACUUAUGAUGAAAAGCAGAACGGAAUAUCUGGGUGCAGUUGUAGUCAAAGACAGAGCAUAAUAGCAGUUGAUCAUAAUACAUUCAGUUAAAUAAUUUUGCCACAACAACGUGAUCGCGUGAUCGUUAUCGUCUACCUAGAUAGAAGUCCGAAGCGAUUCUGACGUGCAAAUCGAUCGUCUGAUUUUGGUACAGGGGCGAAAGGUUAAUCGGACUGUCUAGUAGCUGAUUCCUUCUGAAGAUUCCCUCAGGAUAGAUGGAGUACGUUAUGAAGCUGUUAAAUUCGGUAAAGCGGAACGUCUUCAACCUAUCCUCAGGCUGUCAAUGAGUUUGACGUCUCACUUGCUUGAAUCAAGCAUAGACAUUGAACGUGUGCUCCAAAUAGGCCAUUUUUGGUAAGCAGAACUGACGGUGUAAGGUGAACCGUUGUUGAGUUUAAACGUGAUGCGUCUCGAUACAGCUGGUAAAUCGUUAUAUUUACUGUAAUUUUCAAAAUGCA
rnacentral:ncRNA from 1 species